rnacentral:lncRNA from 1 species
ACUUCGGCGAAUUAUUUAGGGGGUCAAACGGCCUCCGAUGAUGAUGCAUGUUAUCUCUUUGGAAUUCUCUAUGAGUGUAAAAUGUUAGAUAAAAAUUUCAUCAAAUUUGAAGUCUUGAAAGUGGAUCAAAAUCGGAAUGAAGUAACCCACUGUCAGUCCGGAUUACUGUUCAUCCGGGUGGAAAAUAAGGGAUUUCAUGCUAUAAUAGAGUAUUAAGCCUAGAUCAAGCUAAAAGGAACCUUGUACUCAUGCAAGGG